CCAACUUUAGGCACAAAGGGUAAUAAGUAAUGAAAUUAUAUCUUGUUAAUUUGCUCUCCAAUCCAAGAUGUUACCAUCUUAAAUUUAAACAGAACUACGAGUAAACACUACUAAAGUUACAUUACUUUUGCUAUGUUUAUGAGAACGGAGAAGCAGGAACAUAUCAAAAACAAUACAAGCCAGCAAAGGUUUUUGAGCAAUUUUCUCUUCACUUGUCAUUACUGGGAAGAUUAUACACAAACCGGCGAUGCAUUCCCAGUAUAUCAGUAGCCA
rnacentral:lncRNA from 1 species